CUCACGCGUUAAGUUCGGGGGAAAAUUACUCCAUUGUUGAAGAAGAAACUCAACUUUAAAAGGAUGAAUGAUACCUAGUAUUCUGCUUGCUGCUCCAGAGUAAACAGGCAUGAAGGAAAAUAAGUAAAGCCAACAAAUGUGCUUUUGAAUUAUCAUCACCUAACCAGGACAAAAUCUAGUUGACGCCUCCAUCUUUCAGGAUGCUUCGGCCACAAAUCAUUUUUCUGAUAGUAAUAUCAUUACUGGAACAAUGCUCAGGUAUGUCAACACUCUAUUUUUAUCAC